rfam:Hypsibius dujardini strain Z151 scaffold0992, whole genome shotgun sequence.
CGACCUGAGCUCAGGCAAGGCUACCCGCUGAACUUAAGCAUAUCAAUAAGCGGAGGAAAAGAAACUAACAAGGAUGCGCUUAGUAACGGCGAGCGAACCGCGCAAAGCCCAACUUGAAAAUCUCCCUUGGAGAAUUGUAGUCUAUAGAAGUACCCUCUGCAACGGGCUGAGCUAAAGUCUCCUGGAAAGGGGCGUCAGAGAGGGUGAGAACCCCGUAAGCUCACGCUUAGUUGCCUCACGAGGUGCUUUCAAAGAGUCGGGUUGCUUGGGAAUGCAGCCCAAAUUUGGUGGUAAAUCCCAUCUAAGGCUAAAUAUUGGCGAGAGACCGAUAGCGAACAAGUACCGUGAGGGAAAGAUGAAAAGAACUUUGAAAAGAGAGUUAAAAAGUGCUUGAAAUUGUUGAGGGGGAAGCGUUUGAAUGCUAGGGUGCGCCUAGGCUUAUGGGUUCUUAACGGGGCUCUGUAUGUGCUAGGUGCUGGCCAGCAUGGGUUAGGCUAGUGGGAUAAAAGCUGGGAUUGAUACCCGGUCUAUGCCACUGGCUUGACCAAGGCGUUAAGACUGCCCUUGUCCUUCGGGAACUGCAGUCUCAAGAUGCUGGCAAAAGGCUUUCAACCGACCCGUCUUGAAACACGGACCAAGGAGUCUAACAUGUAUGCGAGUUGGUGGGUGGAAAACCCAUGAAGCGUAAGGAAACUGACUGGUGGGAUGGCCUGUGCCUGCACCAUCGACCGACCAUGCGUUUCUGCAAAAGGUUUGAGUGCGAGCAUACACGUUGGGACCCGAAAGAUGGUGAACUAUGCCUGAGCAGGGUGAAGCCAGGUGAAAACCUGGUGGAGGCUCGUAGAUGUGCUGACGUGCAAAUCGCUUUUCGGACUUGGGUAUAGGGGCGAAAGACUAAUCGAACCAUCUAGUAGCUGGUUUCCUCCGAAGUUUCCCCCAGGAUAGCUGGAGCUUAUUCGGAGUACGGUCAGGUAAAGCGAAUGAUUAGAGGUUCGGGGGAUGUAACAUCCUUCACCUAUUCUCAAACUUAAAUAGGGUCGUUGUCUGUUGCUAAAUAACCCAGGCCCUUCAAGAUGAGAGCUCCAAUGCCAUUUUUGUAAGCGAACUGCGAGCGGCAUGAACCGAUAAGCGAGUAAGGCAGCCAAAACUGCCGCUUAACCCUAGAUCCCACAAAGGGUGUUGAUUGAUAUAGACAGCAGGACGGUGGUCAUGGAAGUCGAAAUCCGCUAAGGAGUGUGUAACAACUCACCUGCCGAAUCAAUUAGCCCCGAAAAUGGAUGGCGCUGAAGCGCGUGACCUAUACUCGGCNNNNNNNCCAUGGAAGUAAGUGCGAGACUUCCAUGAGUAGGAGGACGUGGAUAUCGUUGCGCAGCCUGGGGCGUGAGCCUGGGUGAAACGGUAUCUAGUGCAGAUCUUGGUGGUAGUAGCAAAUAUUCAAAUGAGAACUUUGAAGACUGAAGUGGAGAAAGGUUCCAUGUGAACAGCAAUUGGACAUGGGUUAGUCGAUCCUAAGAGGUAUCGGCGAAAGCCCGUUCAGAAGCGUGGUGGAUAGUGCCUUCGGGUACUGGUUGGUGUUUGGGCGCAAGUCUUUGCAUUGAUCACCGCAACCUACCGAAAGGGAAUCGGGUUAAUAUUCCCGAACCCGGCAUCGGAUACGCCAGUCUUCGGGCUGGCAAAUGCGGCAACGCAAAUGAACUCGGAAACGCUGACACGUGCCCUAGAAAGAGUUGUUCUUUUCUUCAUAAGGCUCAGGCUCCCUGGAAUCGGAUCAUCCCGGCGAUAGGGAGAUGGAGUCCGUAGAGCACCGCGCGUUUUCUUGCGGUGUCUGGUGCGCACGUGUCGGUCCUUGAAA